UGGCGGACGGGUGAGUAAUGUCUGGGAAACUGCCUGAUGGAGGGGGAUAACUACUGGAAACGGUAGCUAAUACCGCAUAACGUCGCAAGACCAAAGAGGGGACCUUCGGGCCUCUUGCCAUCGGAUGUGCCCAGAUGGGAUUAGCUAGUAGGCGGGGUAACGGCUCACCUAGGCGACGAUCCCUAGCUGGUCUGAGAGGAUGACCAGCCACACUGGAACUGAGACACGGUCCAG
rnacentral:rRNA from 1 species